rnacentral:rRNA from 1 species
UACGUAGGUGGCAAGCGUUUGUCCGGAAUUAUUGGGCGUAAAGCGCGCGCAGGUGGUUCUUUAAGUCUGAUGUGAAAGCCCACGGCUCAACCGUGGAGGGUCAUUGGAAACUGGGGAACUUGAGUGCAGAAGAGGAAAGUGGAAUUCCAAGUGUAGCGGUGAAAUGCGUAGAGAUUUGGAGGAACACCAGUGGCGAAGGCGACUUUCUGGUCUGUAACUGACACUGAGGCGCGAAAGCGUGGGGAGCAAACAGGG